rfam:Deltaproteobacteria bacterium CSP1-8 XT12_C0027, whole genome shotgun sequence.
CAGCCGGUGAAAGUCCGGUCCGGGUAAGCGCCGGAGCGCCCGGUAGCAGGCACCAGUCGUCGGGAGAGAUCCCGGGGGCCGAGCGGUGCGUCGAAAGCCUUUUAGGAGGGAGCGGAGAAGCGGGCCGCAACUUGA